CUCGGUGUAGUUUAGUGGGUAUAAUACGUGACAGCUGGUUCACGAGACGUAGGUGUGAUUCCUACCAUCGGGC